GACGAACGCUGGCGGCGUGCUUAACACAUGCAAGUCGAACGCUGAAGCUCAGCUUUUGUUGGGUGGAUGAGUGGCGAACGGGUGAGUAACACGUGAGUAACCUGCCUCCUUCUUUGGGAUAACGCCCGGAAACGGGUGCUAAUACUGGAUAUUCACUGGUCUUCGCAUGGGGGUUGGUGGAAAGGGUUUUUCUGGUGGGGGAUGGGCUCGCGGCCUGUCAGCUUGUUGGUGGGGUGAUGGCCUACCAAGGCUUUGACGGGUAGCCGGCCUGAGAGGGUGACCGGUCACAUUGGGACUGAGAUACGGCCCAGACUCCUACGGGAGGCAGCAGUGGGGAAGAUUGCACAAUGGGCGCAAGCCUGAUGCAGCGACGCCGUGUGAGGGAUGGAGGCCUUCGGGUUGUGAACCUCUUUCGCUCAUGGUCAAGCCGCAACAAUGGUUGUGGUGAGGGUAGUGGGUAAAGAAGCGCCGGCUAACUACGUG
rnacentral:rRNA from 1 species